UUUGAUUAGGAUUUGAUUAGGAUUUGGUCUAGGAUUUGGUCUAGGAUUUGGUUAGAAUUUGGUUACAUUUGAUUUAAGAUUUCAUUAGAAUUUAUUUAAGAUUUGAUUAGGAUUGGUUUAGAAUUUUAUUAGAAUUUAUUUAAGAUUUUAUUAGGAUUGAUUUAUAAUUUUAUUAAGAUAUUUUUAAGAUUUGAUUAAAAUUGAUUUAAUAUUUAAUUAGUAUUUAUUGAAAAUUAUAUUAAGAUUUGAUUAAAAUCAAAUUAAGAUUUUUAUUU
rnacentral:lncRNA from 1 species